UACGUAGGGCGCAAGCGUUGUCCGGAUUUAUUGGGCGUAAAGAGCUCGUAGGCGGUUGGGUAAGUCGGGUGUGAAAACUCAGGGCUCAACUCUGAGACGCCACUCGAUACUGCCCUGACUCGAGUCCGGUAGGGGAGCGUGGAAUUCCCGGUGUAGCGGUGAAAUGCGCAGAUAUCGGGAGGAACACCAGUGGCGAAGGCGGCGCUCUGGGCCGGAACUGACGCUGAGGAGCGAAAGCGUGGGUAGCAAACAGG
rnacentral:rRNA from 1 species